rnacentral:sRNA from 1 species
AGAUCGAAUUAGAAAUUGGUUUAAACGUUAUUUGAGUGAAAGUGAACAUAUAUUUAUUGAUAAAACUUACUGUCAAGUUGCGAAUUGCCCCAAACAAUAUUUGGCGCAUGUACUUUCAAAACAUGGCUUUACUUGUAAGAAAGAAACACCUCUUUUACCGAAUAUAAAUAAUGAAAG